rnacentral:rRNA from 1 species
AUCGGAACUACUGGGCGUAAAGCGUGCGCAGGCGGUUUUGUAAGACAGUGGUGAAAUCCCCGGGCUCAACCUGGGAACUGCCAUUGUGACUGCAAGGCUAGAGUGCGGCAGAGGGGGAUGGAAUUCCGCGUGUAGCAGUGAAAUGCGUAGAUAUGCGGAGGAACACCGAUGGCGAAGGCAAUCCCCUGGGCCUGCACUGACGCUCAUGCACGAAAGCGUGGGGAGCAAACAGGAUUAGAUACCCUGGUAGUCAAGGGCG